AGUGGUAUUGCUGGUCUAUAUGGUAAAUUUAUGUUUGUAAGAAACUGCCAAAUUGUUUUCCAAGAUAACCUACCAUUUUGCAUUCCCAACAGCAAU
rnacentral:pre_miRNA from 1 species